GGGCCCGCACAAGCGGAGGAACAUGUGGUUUAAUUCGAUGAUACGCGAGGAACCUUACCCGGGUUUGAACGCAUUUCGACAGACGGGGAAACCUGUUUUCUAGCAAUAGCGAUUUGCGAGGGUGCUGCAUGGUUGUCGUCAGCUCGUGCCGUGAGGUGUCGGCUUAAGUGCCAUAACGAGCGCAACCCUUAUUGUUAGUUACCAUCAGGUCAUGCUGGGGACUCUAACAAGACUGCCAGCGUAAGCUGUGAGGAAGGUGGGGAUGACGUCAAAUCAGCACGGCCCUUACAUCCGGGGCGACACACGUGUUACAAUGGGGGGGACAAAGGGCAGCCACCUGGCGACAGGGCGCUAAUCCCUAAACCCUUUCUCAGUUCGGAUCGGAGUCUGCAACUCGACUCCGUGAAGCUGGAUUCGCUAGUAAUCGCGCAUCAGCCAUGGCG
rnacentral:rRNA from 1 species